rfam:Volvox carteri f. nagariensis unplaced genomic scaffold VOLCAscaffold_63, whole genome shotgun sequence.
UGGAUCGUUCAUACCAUGUUGAACACUGCCCAUCCCAUCAGCACUGGGCACAUAAGCAACAUUGGGCCAGAUCAGUAGUACGGUGGGGGACCACGUGCGAACCCCUGGUGACGAUCUGU